rnacentral:rRNA from 1 species
UACGUAGGGGGCUAGCGUUGUCCGGAAUCAUUGGGCGUAAAGAGCGUGUAGGCGGUCCGGUAAGUCCGCUGUGAAAGUCGGGGGCUCAACCCUCGAAUGCCGGUGGAUACUGUCGGGCUAGAGUGCGGAAGAGGCGAGUGGAAUUCCUGGUGUAGCGGUGAAAUGCGCAGAUAUCAGGAGGAACACCGAUGGCGAAGGCAGCUCGCUGGGACGUUACUGACGCUGAGACGCGAAAGCGUGGGGAGCAAACAGG